rnacentral:rRNA from 1 species
UCAGGACGAACGCUGGCGGCGUGCUUCAUACAUGCAAGUCGAACGAGAAGCAGGUCUUCGGACUGUGGAAAGUGGCGGACGGGUGAGUAAAAUGUAGAGAAUCUGCCCUAGAGCGGGGGAUAGCAGUUGGAAACGACUAUUAAUACCCCAUAUGAGCGUACUUGAGAUAGUAUUCUUGAAAACUCCGGUGCUCUAGGAUGAGUCUGCAUCUGAUUAGCUAGUAGGCGGUGUAAUGGACCACCCAGGCGACGAUCAGUAGCUGGUUUGAGAGGAUGAUCAGCCACAAUGGGACUGAGACACGGCCCAUACUCCUACGGGAGGCAGCAGUAGGGAAUUUUGCGCAAUGGGGGAAACCCUGACGCCAGCAACGCCGCGUGAAUGAAGAAGCCCUUCGGGGUGUAAAGUUCUGUCAGUGGGGACGAAACUUGACGGUACCCACAGAGGAAGCAUCGGCUAACUCCGUGCCAGCCGCUGC